rnacentral:rRNA from 1 species
CGAGCGAGCGGAACCAGCAGAAUCACUUCGGUGAGGACGCUGGGRAAGCGAGCSGCGGAUG